rnacentral:rRNA from 1 species
UACGUAGGGGGCGAGCGUUGUCCGGAUUUAUUGGGCGUAAAGAGCUCGUAGGCGGCUGUUCGAGUCGGGUGUGAAAUCCUGAGGCUUAACCUUGGGUCUGCAUUCGAUACUGGGCGGCUUGAGUCUGGUAGGGGGAUCUGGAAUUCCUGGUGUAGCGGUGGAAUGCGCAGAUAUCAGGAGGAACACCCAUUGCGAAGGCAGCUCGCUGGGACGUUACUGACGCUGAGACGCGAAAGCUAGGGGGAGCAAACAGG